CUGUCGGCGCGAGGCGGAAGCCCGGCUGCGGGUCUGGAUCGGUGCCCGCGCGGCUCGGCGCCUGCCUCCUCAGGGCAGUCCGCCGCCCGCCGCCCCGCGGAGACCAGUUUUCUGUUUGCACCUCCUGACCUCCACGAAGAUAUUCUGCUGGCCUUGAUCUCCCCUGUCUCCUUGGUACUUAGAAUCGCGGUCGUCGACCCCCGUUGACUGUUCUGUGGGUCGGGACAACUGGCGCCCAACGUGGGGCCCAACAGACCGGAGAGGCGAGAAAGUCGCCCCCAGGAGGGUGGGUGGGCCCAGGUGGGCCCACCCCCACCCAUGAAAGGAGGUGUCUGCAGCUAGACCCUCGCCAGAAUCGCCACGUUCUGAACCGGGCGUGAGACAGACUCGUGUAUACUCAAUCGGCGACGCAUUUAGGAAGAAAUGUCACUCUUCCCCCUAAGACGCUUACUCCUGAUGCCCAAUUAAAUUUACCAGUUAGUACUACUAUAAUUACUGACUGUGUAUGUAUUAAUUGUACUGAUGUAGCCUCUUACCGUAAUUCUACAAUCAAUGUAAAAUAGUCUUCUGGAUAUAGACUUCCAAAUGGUUAAGUAUUUUUGUGUAAUAACAAAACAUAUCAAGCCCUCUCUCCACACUAUCAAGGUGUUUGUGGGGUGAGACGCAUUCUUCCUGCUCUAAUAGACCAUCCUGAAUAUAAGCACAGGAGACUUCUCCGAGCUCUGCCAUCUGACUGUGAUGAAAACUUGAAGCUUUGAGGUCCUGCUGCUGCUGCUGUUGCAGUUGCAGCUGCGUUCCUCCUGCCGGUUCCUGGAAUUGUCAUUGGAAUGCUAGAGGAGAUAUCUAAGCUGGCCUGCGCAUAUAGCAAAACAACAAAAUUGACUGCUUCUGUAUUAUCUGAACUCCACCAAGAACUGAGAGAAUUGCGAGCUGCAGUGCCUCAGAAUUGAGCUCCUGUGGACUGUCUGCUGUUAAAAGAGCAUAUAAGAUGUGAACAGUUUCCAAGAAUGUGUUGUUUCAAUUUGUCUGAUUUUUCUCAAACUACCCAAAAUCAAUUAGAUGAUAUCCCCAGUCACCACAAAACCAUUUAAAUCCUAUCUUAUUUGCAGCCAAAACUGCAUCUCAUAUAUUAAAUCAGAUGAAAGACAUGUGCAAAGAACCCCUGAAUAGUCUCUGGCACGUUGUCACACCUCUCUUAACUCUAAGCAUUUUAUGGCUUUUGUUGCUGUUACUAGGGCCUUGUGUCCUUCGCAGCAUGUAGAAACUCAUCCAACAAGCCUUAAGAGGCCUGCAUCAUUUGAAAUUGCAGACGGCCCCCCCCACUUGUAAAUCAUAAGAUCUAAAGUCAAGUAUGGUAGCCAAUGAUGGGUAAGAUAUGGUUGAAUUGUAAAUACCAACCUAAGACCGGGAAUGGUCGACAGAGGACUAUAGCCCCAUGACGGGUAAGGAUUUAACUUCAACCAUACAACCUAAGACAGGCACCUACCUUGACCCAGUCUGAGUUAGACUGGUUGUUUUAUUAAAGAGAAAAAAGAGACGAGAUAGUCAAAGACGGGUAAGCACCCUAGAGCCUCUGGCAACCUAAGACAGGGCUUCCACAUUGGAGUGGGAGUACCAAUGACGGGUAAGAUCAGAGUUGCUGCCUUGGGGCACCUAAGACAGGCACUGUCUUCUUAUUAUAAAAUAAAGGGGGAGAUGUUGGGAGCAAACCUGUGGGCCUUUAGGCAGGCUUGGUUACGAAAGCCCCACCCUUAAAACCUCCCUCCCAAGGGCCCCCACCCACAAGAUGGCGAACUCCCUGCUUCUCUUCUGGGUCCUCCGCUCCCGCCGGUGCCACCUAAGGCCCAAUCACCUUCUGACCCACCCCUUCCUCGCUACCUGUAUAAAUUGAGCCUGCAAACAAUAAACUGUGUCAGCUUUAUCAGA